AUUGAACGCUGGCGGCAGGCUUAACACAUGCAAGUCGAACGAUGACUAACUAGCUUGCUAGUUAUGAUUAGUGGCGGACGGGUGAGUAACAUUUAGGAAUCUGCCUAGUAGUGGGGGAUAGCUCGGGGAAACUCGAAUUAAUACCGCAUACGACCUACGGGUGAAAGGGGGCGCAAGCUCUUGCUAUUAGAUGAGCCUAAAUCAGAUUAGCUAGUUGGUGGGGUAAAGGCCCACCAAGGCGACGAUCUGUAACUGGUCUGAGAGGAUGAUCAGUCACACCAGAACUGAGACACGGUCCGGACUCCUACGGGAGGCAGCAGUGGGGAAUAUUGGACAAUGGGGGCAACCCUGAUCCAGCCAUGCCGCGUGUGUGAAGAAGGCCUUUUGGUUGUAAAGCACUUUAAGCAGGGAGGAGAGGCUAAUGGUUAAUACCCAUUAGAUUAGACGUUACCUGCAGAAUAAGCACCGGCUAACUCUGUGCCAGCAGCCGCGGUAAUACAGAGGGUGCGAGCGUUAAUCGGAAUUACUGGGCGUAAAGCGAGUGUAGGUGGCUCAUUAAGUCACAUGUGAAAUCCCCGGGCUUAACCUGGGAACUGCAUGUGAUACUGGUGGUGCUAGAAUAUGUGAGAGGGAAGUAGAAUUCCAGGUGUAGCGGUGAAAUGCGUAGAGAUCUGGAGGAAUACCGAUGGCGAAGGCAGCUUCCUGGCAUAAUAUUGACACUGAGAUUCGAAAGCGUGGGUAGCAAACAGGAUUAGAUACCCUGGUAGUCCACGCCGUAAACGAUGUCUACUAGCCGUUGGGGUCCUUGAGACUUUAGUGGCGCAGUUAACGCGAUAAGUAGACCGCCUGGGGAGUACGGCCGCAAGGUUAAAACUCAAAUGAAUUGACGGGGGCCCGCACAAGCGGUGGAGCAUGUGGUUUAAUUCGAUGCAACGCGAAGAACCUUACCUGGUCUUGACAUAGUGAGAAUCCUGCAGAGGUGCGGGAGUGCCUUCGGGAAUUCACAUACAGGUGCUGCAUGGCUGUCGUCAGCUCGUGUCGUGAGAUGUUGGGUUAAGUCCCGCAACGAGCGCAACCCUUUUCCUUAUUUGCCAGCGGGUUAAGCCGGGAACUUUAAGGAUACUGCCAGUGACAAACUGGAGGAAGGCGGGGACGACGUCAAGUCAUCAUGGCCCUUACGACCAGGGCUACACACGUGCUACAAUGGUAGGUACAGAGGGUUGCUACACAGCGAUGUGAUGCUAAUCUCAAAAAGCCUAUCGUAGUCCGGAUUGGAGUCUGCAACUCGACUCCAUGAAGUCGGAAUCGCUAGUAAUCGCAGAUCAGAAUGCUGCGGUGAAUACGUUCCCGGGCCU
rnacentral:rRNA from 1 species